rnacentral:lncRNA from 1 species
UGAGUUUUAAACAUUUCAUUAUAAUAUAAAUUACUUUAGUUAAGAAAUAUAUUGUAUUUGUUGCUAUGAAAUAACAACUUUCAAAUUCAUAAAAAUAUAUAAUAUUAACUUCAAAUUGUGUUACAACGAUCCUUUACGUUCAAUACAGUUUUAAUACAUAUCACACCGUCGCCAUCACUGUACACCACCCUUUCUCGUAACCACCACCACUAAACUUCGGCCAGAUCUCCAUCACCGCCAUCAACAGACCCAUCACCUCUGUUUCCUCAUUUUUCUGUCGAGCUAGCAACCAGACUGCUUGUGUCUUCUCCAGUGAACUCAUGUCCCCACAGCAACCAACAAUCGCUACCCACUCAGUUUAUCCUUCAUUACUCGAUACCACCUCAUUUUUUGGUCAAAUCUGAAAUCAAUCACCUCCCAUUUUUCAUUUUUUUUCGACAAACUAGCCACCAAACAAUCCCCGUCCUCUCUGGCGAACUCACAUCACUGGAGCAACCAACAACUUCUUUACCUACUUCGUUUCUCUUCCAUUAACGAACAACUUCAGCAAAAUCCAAUAAUUUCGGUAAGAUCUGGGGUCCGAUCUGAUUGUGCCAUUACGAUUUCGCCAUGGACAUUGUGGUGGUUGUCGAAGUCGAAACGUUGAUUAUUGGUUACUCCGUCGUUAUUUCGCCAGCGAAGACGAGAAGGACAGAAGAAACAAAGUGAAGAAGAAGUGAGAUCUAUCCUCCCGUUUUAUAACUAUGCAAGGAGUUUUUGGUAUAUCUCUAUUCUAGCGGCAAAUCAAUUCUUUAUUUUAUGAAAGAAAAGAUUUUAUUCCCUAUAUUCGUCGUUAUAGAUUAUAGAUUUAUUUUAAUGAUAGUUAAAUAUUAAAAUAAUAUGCAAAAAAUAUAAGAACAACUAUGAUUAUAAUCAAGCAAAACGAAUCAAGAGUUACUAAAUAAUCAUGUAGUUAAGUAUUGUAAUCUCAGAACAAGAAGUUUAACUUCACAUAGACUUAAAGCACUUACAACAAAUCAUCUAACAAACGUAAAAUAAACAAAGGAGAAGAAAGGAUGAAAGCAUUUUUGUCUGACCCCACGGUGAUUUUUUGUUGGAUUCGAAAUCGAGAGGGCGUCAUGCGUAAGCUUAAAGUUUGCAAACCAAGACGACGAUAAUUCAGAUGACACUAUAAAAUUAAAAACAUAAUAUUAUUAUUCAGAUGACACUAUAAAAUUAAAAACAUAAUACUAUUGAUAUAAUUUGGCCAACUGGCCUGCACAUGAAAAUUAAUAUUAAAGAAAACAUAAAAUUAUUGGGAGAAAAUGUACCCCUAAACAACACUCGUAAAUGAUUACAUUGUAGAUUAUACUAUGUUAUGACUUGAGAGGAGAGAUCUUCUAUUUAUAUAGAGUUACAAAACCCUUUCUUUCAAAAAGAAGAAACCUAAUAGAAAUUUAAUAGUAAAGAGAUCUUUUUCUACUAGAAAACCUCUUUUUCUAUCAAGAAAAUAAUUCUAAUUAUGAUAAAGUAAAAAAUUCAGGACAAAUCCUAACACUUCUAUCUCUCUCUGGGACUAUAAAUGUAGGAAAUAACGCCCUAAUCCUAAUUGGUUUUGGAGUACUUAAAAAACAAAGUUGCAGUUCGGGAUAGACCUGACAGGGCGCGCCAGCCAUAGCAUCAACUUGAUUUUUCUCAAAAAUUCAUCCAACUUGUUCCAAAAGUUCCGAACCUUCCUUUUUGCUCACAUGGGUUGAUUUUCACCACAUUUUUCUUACAAAGGAUCUAAUCACAUUGGUUAGUUCACUAUCAAGACUAUUCACUCAAAACACACAUUAUAAGUGAAUAUUGUUCUCAAAACAAGGAUAAAUGUGGGUAAAAUAUGACAAGCAGAUGUACAAGUACAUUCAAGAUCAGAUUCAACAUGGGAAUGACAACAUUUUUGAAUUAUCCGAUCUACAUAGCUUGUAGGUGAUAGUGUAUCAGAUCGUGAUCUACAAACUAACGUAUGAGACUCGUUAAAGAGGAUAAAAACAUAGUCAGACCUACAUGCAUCAGGUAGUAUGUGAUGAGAUUUUCAAUUAUUGAAUGUGUACUCCUAGCUAGUUUGACUUUUAAAUAUUAUCAGUUGUCAGUCGUUCUCAUCUUUGAAUGCCCCAUAGACCUUGUAUGUGUAUAUAGAAAUCUACUAAAAAUUCAUAAAUAGUUAACAGUGAACUCAGUUACUAUCGUAGACGCUCGUCAAUUUUAAAUCUUAAAUUUGGCUCUUGUUACAAGAUCUUGACAAGUUUCUUGUAUCUUAUGUUAUUGUAGGUUUGGUCAACCUUAAUAUUGUACAGGAAGAUUUUGGAUGCAAUAGAGGAGAAUGACUAUGAUAACUUGACAAAGAAAGAUUUUAAACCACGUCGAAUACUUAUUUAGAAGUAGACUAAACACUAACUCAAUCAAAGACGAACUACAAAUUUGUCUUCAAUUUUAAGUAGGAUAGAAUCAAAUCAUACACACAUGCAACAAAAGAGAUCAUCAUUAUCGUGUUUCGGAAAAUAUGUGAACUUCAAAACAUACCAUGUGUUAUGUGCAAAUUGCAAUUAUAUAACGAAGCUAACUUAUUUGGAACUGAGGCCUAAUUGUGGGCGACAAACCUCCAUGUAAUGAUUAAGAAAACUAGCAAGUACAAGUUUAGAAUACCAACC